GACGAACGCUGGCGGCGUGCCUAACACAUGCAAGUCGAACGCUGAAGGAGGAGUUUGCUUCUCUGGACGAGUUGCGAACGGGUGAGUAACGCGUAGGUAACCUGCCUGGUAGCGGGGGAUAACUACUGGAAACGAUAGCUAAUACCGCAUAAGAGCAGAUGUUGCAUGACAUUUGCUUAAAAGGUGCAAUUGCAUCACUACCAGAUGGACCUGAGGUGUAUUAGCUAGUUGGUGGGGUAACGGCUCACCAAGGCGACGAUACAUAGCCGACCGGAGAGGGUGGGUAGCCAGACUGGGACGGUGACCCGGCACAGUCGCCUUCGGGAAGCAGCAAGAGGGAAACUUGGGAAAGGGGCGGAAUACAUACCAAAAAAGGCCGCGGGAGGGAAGAAGGAUGCCGGGUCGGAAAGGUCGGUUGUAGGGGAAGAACGCGCGUGAGAGUGGGAAGUUCACUGUGUGACGGUAACUUAUCAGAAAGGAACGGCUAACUACGUG
rnacentral:rRNA from 1 species